rnacentral:rRNA from 1 species
CGGCGUGGAUCAGACAUGCUAGUCGAACGAGAAGCCGGGGGCAACUCCGGUUGUAAAGUGGCGAAAGGGCGAGCAAUACGUGACCAAUCUACCCACUAGAUGGGAAUAACCACUGGAAACGGUGGAUAAUGCCCAGUAAGCCUGGAGUACGGCAUCGCACUCCUGGGAAACGGUUGGGAUCUUCGGACCUUCUGCUAGAGGAAGAGGUCACGUCCUAUUAGCUAGUUGGUGAGGUAAUGGCUCACCAAGGCUUUGAUGGGUAGCCGGCCUGAGAGGGUGGUCGGCCGCACUGGGACUGAGAUACGGCCCAGACU